CCUACGGGUGGCAGCAGUGGGGAAUAUUGGGCAAUGGGCGCAAGCCUGACCCAGCAACGCCGCGUGAAGGAAGAAGGCUUUCGGGUUGUAAACCUCUUUUGUCAGGGACGAAACAAGUGACGGUACCUGACUAAUAAGCCACGGCUAACUACGUGCCAGCAGCCGCGGUAAUACGUAGGCGGCAAGCGUUAUCCGGAUUUACUGGGUGUAAAGGGCGCGUAGGCGGGGAUGUAAGUCAGAUGUGAAAGCCAGGGGCUCAACCUGGGGACUGCAUUGGAAACUGUAUGGCUGGAGUGCAGGAGAGGGAAGUGGAAUUCCUGGUGUAGCGGUGAAAUGCGUAGAUAUGAGGAGGAACACCAGUGGCGAAGGCGGCUUACUGGACUGUAACUGACGUUGAGGCUCGAAAGCGUGGGGAGCAAACAGGAUUAGAUACCCCAGUAGUC
rnacentral:rRNA from 1 species